ensembl:lncRNA
GGCUGCUUUAAUGAGGCAGUUUUUUUCUUUUUUUCUCUAACUGAUGAACACCUAGUGAAACUGAAGUUGCAUUAAUUUGGAUACGGGUGUAAUAAAUAAGGAUAAUUUGUCUUUUAACAUGCUGGAAAUGUAGGAGGAAGCUUACAAUAACCAUUGGCAGUUGUUCUAUUUCUCUGUUGUGAGGAAGUCUUAGUGGGGGUUGAGAGACAGUGGGUCUACAAUACUUAAUAUCUAUUUCCAGAGUAAGAUGGAAGAUGAGAGCUAAAAUGUCCAUGAGAGGUUGUGUGUUCACUGUGGUUCCGCUUUUGCAGGAACCUGAAUGUAUGACAUGCAAUGCAAUCGGGGCUUUAUCAAUGCUUUCUCCUAGAAGAGCUGUACUGUAUUAAUAAUUCAAGGGAAGUGGACUGAGAGGGACAGGUAUUCCUACUUUAGUUUAACAGCAGUCUUAACAUCUCCAGUGUCUCUAUCUCAAUGAGGAAAAGUUCAGCUCAUAGAUUGGCCCCUGUCCCUGUGUAAAGGGUGGAUAUUUGAGAGACAUGUCAUAAACUCUCUUUUUUGCUUCAGGUGAUUGCGAAGAGCACUGAAUAGAUGAUAGUCCCCCAGAAACAGCUUUUCAAACUUCUGCUGACUUCAGUAGCUGCUGCUGGAGUAUUUUCUGUUUCAUAAAG